UACUUUUGACCAGGGCCCCUAUGGGGGGGGAACCCUAUUCCCUACAUAGUGCACUAGAUAGGGAAUAGGGAGCCAUUUGAAAUGAACCCCCAUCAACACACCCCUCUCAACACAGGGUUUAACUCCUCAAGUUAUCCUCGGAGAGCUGGACAGAGAGCAGGUAGGGAAAAAAAACACUCCCUCGUCAUACUAGUCUCCCACACUUUAAUUAAAGGUCUCCUCUUGUCCCCAACCAGAAGAACCACAGUAUCGACAACCGUUUAAAAUAUCAGCCUGCUUCCCUGUCCUCUUUCAAACUAUAGCAGCAGUAUUCAAUCUAGACGGAAUGUUACUGAACCCCCAACAACAAGAUGAAUGAAUAUGGGUCAUUCAACAAGUCUCAUGUCUGCUAGGAGCAAGACAGUGGAGCCCAUUGGACUUUCACAGUAAUAAUCACAACCAUAUUUUACAACUAAAAAUGUGUGUUGCUACACCAACGCAUGCAAAUAAAACAAUUCAACGGUCACAUGUAUGUCUCUGUGUUACAGGGUGUCUAGUCCAGGUGUGUCUAGUCCAGGUGUGUCUAGUCCAGGUGUGUCUCUGUGUUACAGUGUGUCUAGUCCAGGUGUGUCUAGUCCAGGUGUGUAUAGUCCAGGUGUGUCUAGUCCAGGUGUGUCUAGUCCAGGUGUGUCUCUGUGUUACAGUGUGUCUAGUCCAGGUGGGUCUAGUCCAGGUGUGUCUAGUCCAGGUGUGUCUCUGUGUUACAGUGUGUCUAGUCCAGGUGUGUCUAGUCCAGGUGUGUCU